rnacentral:rRNA from 1 species
AUUGAACGCUGGCGGCAGGCCUAACACAUGCAAGUCGAGCGGAUGAAGGGAGCUUGCUCCUGGAUUCAGCGGCGGACGGGUGAGUAAUGCCUAGGAAUCUGCCUGGUAGUGGGGGAUAACGUCCGGAACGGGCGCUAAUACCGCAUACGUCCUGAGGGAGAAAGUGGGGGAUCUUCGGACCUCACGCUAUCAGAUGAGCCUAGGUCGGAUUAGCUAGUUGGUGGGGUAAAGGCCUACCAAGGCGACGAUCCGUAACUGGUCUGAGAGGAUGAUCAGUCACACUGGAACUGAGACACGGUCCAGACUCCUACGGGAGGCAGCAGUGGGGAAUAUUGGACAAUGGGCGAAAGCCUGAUCCAGCCAUGCCGCGUGUGUGAAGAAGGUCUUCGGAUUGUAAAGCACUUUAAGUUGGGAGGAAGGGCAGUAAGUUAAUACCUUGCUGUUUUGACGUUACCAACAGAAUAAGCACCGGCUAACUUCGUG